CCUACGGGAGGCAGCAGUGAGGAAUAUUGGUCAAUGGACGAGAGCCUGAACCAGCCAAGUAGCGUGAAGGAUGACUGCCCUACGGGUUGUAAACCUCUUUUAUAGGGGAAUAAAGUGAGGCACGUGUGCCUUUUUGUAUGUACUUUAUGAAUAAGGAUCGGCUAACUCCGUGCCAGCAGCCGCGGUAAUACGGAGGAUCCGAGCGUUAUCCGGAUUUAUUGGGUUUAAAGGGAGCGUAGAUGGGUUGUUAAGUCAGUUGUGAAAGUUUGCGGCUCAACCGUAAAAUUGCAAUUGAUACUGGCAGCCUUGAGUACAGUUGAGGUAGGCGGAAUUCGUGGUGUAGCGGUGAAAUGCUUAGAUAUCACGAAGAACUCCGAUUGCGAAGGCAGCUUACUAAACUGCAACUGACACUGAGGCUCGAAAGUGUGGGUAUCAAACAGGAUUAGAUACCCGAGUAGUC
rnacentral:rRNA from 1 species